GUUAAAUUGAGCGUAGUCUUAAAAUUACAUUUUUUAUUGACACGAGCUGAUUUGAUCGCUAUGUUUGCUCUGUUUCUUCUUAUAAUCCAUGAAGUGAUAUCAUUUGGGACAAUAGACGAUUUACCAGUUCUCGACCAUCGUGGAUGUGAUGAUUGCUUACGCGUAUAUGUCCCCGUGUGUGGAACAGAUAAAAAGACAUACACCAACAUAUGUCGCUUGAAUUGUUUGAACAGUAAGCGGAAUCAAUCUGAAUGGGUGUUUAUUGAAAGGUAUGGACCAUGUAAUGAAGUAAGCGUAAUACUCAGUGCUCACAAUAUAGAUUAAAUGAAUACUUUUC